rnacentral:lncRNA from 1 species
GAAGGUGGCGUCUGGCUCCUGGGCUCCAACAUCUGGUUGCGACAACCAGGUAGAAGGGAUAGGGGGAAAAGAGGGAGAAAGCAACCGUGAGUACUCAUCCAAAGUACUCGCAAGCAAGGAGCUACACUACAUAUGUAUGCAUUGGUAUCAACUGGAAUAAGGCUAUCAUAUGUGGACUGAACUGCAGAAUGCCGAAAUAAGGGGGGAUAGCUAGUCCUUUCGAAGACUACGCUUCUGGCAGCCUCAUCUUGCAGCAUGUAGAAGAGAGUAGACUGAAGACCUCCAAGUAGCAUCGUAUAGCAUAAUCCUAAUCGAUGAUCCUCCCCUCGUCGCCCUGUGACAAAGAGACCACCGGUUGUAUCUGGCACUUGGAAGGGUGUGUUUUAUUAAGUAUCCGGUUCUAGUUGUCAUAAGGUCAAGGUACAACUCCAAGUCGUCCUGUUAUCAAAGAUCACGGCUAUUCGAAUAGAUUAACUUCCCUGCAGGGGUGCACCACAUAACCCAACACGCUCGAUCCCAUUUGGCCGGACACACUUUUCUGGGUCAUGCUCGGCCUCGGAAGAUCAACACGUCGCAGCCCCACCUAGACCAACAAAGAGGUCAACACGCCGGUCUAAACCUAAGCACCCAGGGGUCUGGGCCCAUUGCCCUUAGCACACCUGCUUGCGUGGGCGGCCGGAAGCAGACCUAGCCUAGUAGGCGUUCCAGUCCAAUCCAGCGCGCGCUGCUCCAUUGCUGAUGUCACGAAGGCUUCGGCUUAUACCACGACGUCGAGUGCCCAUAACUGUCCCCGCGUAGAUGGUUAGUGCGUAUAGGCCAGUAGCCAGACUCAGAUCAAAAACCAAGAUCUCGUUAAACGUGUUAAGUAUCUGCGAACACCGACCAGGGCCAGGCCCACCUCUCUCCUAGGUGGUCUCAACCUGCCCUGUCGCUCCGCCACAAAGUAACAGUCGGGGGGCCGUCGGGAACCCAGGCCCACCUCUACCGGGAUGGAGCCACCUGCCCCUUCAGCCCCCAUCUCCAAACAGUAUCACCGGUAAUGUAACAGUGUAAAGUAUGUAGUAUAUGCCCGUGAUCACCUCCCGAAGUGAUCACGGCCCAGUAGUAUAGCAUGGCAGACGGACAAGAGUGUAGGUCCACUGAUGGAACACUAGCAUCCUAUACUAAGCAUUUAGGAUUGUAGUUAAGGUAUCAACAGUUGUAACAACAAUGACAGGCUAUGCAUCAGAAUAGGAUUAACGAAAAGCAGUAACAUGCUACACUACUCUAAUGCAAGUAGUAUAGAGAAGAGUAGGCGAUAUCUGGUGAUCAAGGGGGGGGGGCUUGCCUGGUUGCUCUGGCAAGUAGGGGUCAUCAACACCGUAGUCGAUCGGGGGUACCGGCACCGGUCUCGGGGUCUACCGGAAAGAAGUAACGGAGGGGGAACACAAUAAAUAACAAAGCAAACAUAGCAACACAAAGCAUAACAUGGCAAUGCGCGGUGCUAGGGGUGACCUAACGCCGUAUGAGGUGAUACCGGUGAAGGGGGGAAACAUCCGGGAAAAUAUCCCCGGUGUUUCGCGUUUUUGGACAGAUGAAUCGGAGGGGGAAAGUUGCGUGUUCGCUAUGCUAGGGACGUGUGACAGACGAACGGGUUGCGUAUCCGGAUUCGUCUAGUUCUUCUGAUCAUCUUUCAUAUAUAUAUAAAUUAUUUCGAUUUGAGUUACGGAUUAUUUUCUAUGGAUUUUCAAAGUUUAUUCAAUUUUCUGAAAUUUCUGCAUUUAUUUAAUCGAAUUGACCAAGUCAAUUUGACUGGUCAAAAGGGAAGAUGGUGGCCGACAUGUCAUAAGCUCUACCUAAACAAAUAACUAAAACUAGCUUAAAUAACUCAGGUCCACAUGUAGUAGGCUUAAACUAAUUAAUUAACCAACUAAUCUAAACUAAAUUAGUUUAGACCUAAUUAAACUAGGCCGGCCACACACGGUUGUGGCACAGCCCAUGCGCACACACAAUGCUAAGGUGCAUGUUGGGCGCAGGGUGGGUUGGACGCGAGGCGUGGGUGGCCGCGGCGCGAGCAGUGGCACGGGGUGAGCGCUACCACGGCUCUGGCGGCGACCAGAGCAGACUGCAGCAACGCAGCGGCAGUAGGAGGCGAGCGGGGGCGCGGCGCGCCGGCGCGCGGUCAGGGCUCGGCCCAGGGCGUGGGCAGGCCACGGCGGAGUGUAAGGCAGCGAGCGACGCGCGGGGCCGGUGAGCCCGGGCGGAGGCGGACGCGUGCAGGACGCCGGCGUGCGAGCAGCGUGCAGCUUGCGAGUACAGAGGACGACGAUGAGGACCAAACGAGCAUCUCCAGCAACGAUUUGAGCGGCCGCUGCUACCUAACGAAUCGGGCGCAACGUUGCGCGUUGAACGAAAUCAACGACACGAGCAGAGAUGGCCGGAGUUGGCCGAAGCAAUGACGGUGAGCGGCAGCCAGAGCAAGAGCUCAAUGGAUAUGGGGAUACGCGGGGAGAAUGACCAAACAAACGGCUCAGGCGGCACCACAGGGACGCCACGAGCACGUUGACGUCCUUGCCUGGCCCUAGAGUACACGAUACUGACGAUGACGAGCUCGACGAUAGCGAUAGAGCUUCGGUGGCAAUGGUAGUAUCAGCAGGAAACAACGAACCAAGUCUAGAGGAGAGGGGUUUCGACCGGGAGCUCAUCGUAAGGCGCAAGAAAGGCCGGUGGGAGUCUAGUAGCUGCAGGAGGCGGUGAAUCGUUGGCGGCAAGCUUCGAGCACCGAUGAAGAAGACGAAGUCGAUAUCGAUGAUGUAGAGCGGCUGGCCUCGCGUGCGUUGGUGAGGAGGAAGAGGACGUCGAGGUGGAUCUCCUGGACAUGGUGGUAUGGCGUGGCGCACUUUGUGGUUUUGUGGGCGACGGAUCGAUGGUGACGACAGAGACUACCAUGGCGGGGGAGGAAGAAAGCGGCGUGGGGAAGGGAGAGGAUUUGCGCUAGGGUUCGGCGAGGGGCAUGGAGACGGUCUUAUACAACUCGGGGGCUGGCCGGAUGAUCGACACGGCGCCAUCAUCCGCCAUGGAGGCGUGGAUGUGAGCCACGAUCCCCCUCUUGUGAACAAGAGGUAGGGGAUCGCUACGGAAUGGGCUGGGCCACACUGUAGUUGCCUAUGGUCCAGUAGCACACUAGGCUUUGCCCUUUACUUUUCCUUUGUCUUUCUGCCUUUUCUAUUUUUAUUUUAAUAGUUCAUGUUUUCUUUUAAAUACCUUUUAUUUUUAGUUUUGUAAAUUAUGAACUUAGCCCCCUAAAUUAGUAUUAUUAAUUAGGAUACUGCCACAAUUAGUUUGGCUUCAAAAUAAAAUAGUUUGCUAUUUUUACAAUUUAAAAAGCAUUUAUUUAAUUGCUUUAACUACUGUUUUAAAUAUUUUAGAGUAUUUAAACAUUUUAUAAAAGUGUGGUUUAUCCAAAAUAAUUACUUAUUAAUUAUUUGGCACAUCCUGAACAUUUUAGUUUUAAAGUUUGAAAAUUUUGAUGUUUGCCUUUUAUUAAAUUUUGAAUUUGAAUUGGUUUUUAAACUAACGCGGGAUUAUCAACAAUAACUGCGGUGACGUGGCAUCAUUAACGGGGGAUUACUGUAGCCUAAUUACCCGGGCGUCACAAUUCUCCUCCACUACAAGAAAUCUCAUCCCGAGAUUUAGGAGUGGUUAUAAGGGGAAGGGAUCUGGUUACGAAAUUCUAAAGAUUCUUCUCGGUCAUAGUUGCUCUUCUCGAAGAGGUCUAUCCAUUACAUUGAUGUCUUCGGUCCUCUACUUCAGGUCAUCAUGAUGAAGUCAUCGUCCUUCCUUCAGGACCUUCACUGAACUUACGAAAGGGUGAGAAGGGAAAACGCUAUAUGGAUGGAUUCUAACAAGAUCGAGCAUUAGACGGUUAACUCAGGGAAGAAGCAUAAGUAUCUCUCGAUUUGAAACUUAAGAAGAUAUCGAGAGCAAAGUAAGAAGGUACGAUGAGAAGUUUCAAACGGAUAGGCAAUCAUUCGAUGCCUAAUCAGAAGGUGAAAGGGUUUCAGGGCAACGAGAAUAGGUAUUGCACCUCAUACCAGAAUAGAUCACUAGACAGGUGGUCCGUGAAUUACAUACGAAGUCAAGCAUGAGGAACAACCUUGGGAAUAGGUGGUGUACAGGAGAGUCAGGUUUCGAUCCUAUGGAACUGUGGGUUAUGGGCCCACUAUAUGGGUUAAAAGUAGGAAGGGAGAAGACGUUUUGCACGAUCAUGUAAGCAAGGUAUUUCAGAGGAUAGCCUAUCAGUUAUGUCGGCAACAACAUCAGUACCAAGGGCGAGGGACAAAGAGAACCAUUUUCCUGCUCGUCGAACGAGGCGGACCAAUAGGCAAAGUUCUCGUCCAUCGGUGGCUACCGGAAUGUCAUCAACAAUCGUAUAGGGUCUUGCUGACAGAAUUGUACAACGAGGCGUUUACAUAAGCAGGGAAUAUUACUGCUUAUAUCAUAGAUAUCACAAUAAGGGUUUAAACAAACCAAUGGAAUGGAAAAAUGGUCAUCAGUUUCAAUCAGAACAACGGAAAGGGAAGAGUGUUUAACCACAUUUCAGGGGGUAUAUCCUUCUCAAGGAUAAGCGGAGCAUGAUAUCGAUGAGAGGAUAGAAAGUAGAAAACCAUUUAGGUAAGUGGGGAGGAAUCUCAUGAUAUUACCCAUACAACGGUGUUUGGAUAACUGAUAAGGAAAAUUUAGCAUUGUGCUUCAAAUGUUCUUAUUGAUGAUAGUAGUACCACAUACAUGCUUCAAGAUAGCAUUGACAUGGUAUUCAAGCAAAGGUCGGACUUUGCAUACGCAAAGGAUUCAUCAGGAACAACUUAUAAAAUAAGUCUUACGAUUUUCUCAUGGAAGAAUGGAUAACCUUGCUGAAAAGGAAGCUAUAACAAUAGGUCCUACGGCCAGGUGUGCUAGGCAUGACAUCACCUUACCUGGUCAUAUAAGAACCAAUGUUAUAGCUAUUGAAAUUAUGUUCCAACGAUCAUGUCUGACCGAGGUUCAGAUCCGAUGCCCGUCAAGAUAACUCAGACUUAGGAUGCCUGAGAAGAAAGGUGCAACACAAAUUGUCGAGAUGACAUUGUAAGAUUCUCGGGAAUUGAACUAUGGAAGCGAGUUCCACAACAAAAGUUCAUUGUUAAAUCAAGGAGAGGAUGAAGAUGUGGCUGAUGGACUCGGCGACAACUCAUCAAGAUUUCCAAAGGAUGGAUUUCCACAAAUUAUGCGAAUAAGGAGAUAACAUUAGUCAGAUCAAAUGAUAUAAUGAUGUAUGCUCAAGGAAAACAUACUCGUUAAACAUUGGUUGAAAGGUGCACCCAAAAUAUGGGCUUAAGUAGCAUGAUCAAUGUUAGAAUGGUGGUUCGAUAACCAAUGGUCUAAGAAUGAAAUAUCGACCAUUUACUUCAAAGCAAUAGCGUUGCUAGAGACACGAACAAGUUUGUGUUGAAUGGAAGGCAAUAAAGUGGUCGAUGAUAACACAACUCAUCGAGGGCAAGGAGGGUACUUCUCAUCAUGAAUUCAAUUGAUACCUUGGAAGGGGUCAAAAUGUUUAUGAUGAUUAGGACACAUUUGUCGAGAGGUUUCAAGAAGAUGUAACCGAUCGGCGAUGACAUCAAGUCAAUGGAAUGAUGAAGCGAGAAGUUAUUGAAACCAGAGGUACGACACAAACUUGAAAUCAAGCUUGUCAUUCAAGGACAAUUGUUAUGACGAGGAAGAUCGACGUAAGCUUAGCUCAGCGUCAAAAUUUAUGCUCCGGGAAUAAGGACCGGGUAGCACAGUUAAAAUUAGCACUAUGAUGAUAGCCGAUUAGGCUAGGAUUGACAUGCUCAAGUACAAACUCGUGAGUAAAGGAGAUUACUAAGAGUUGUUUAAUCAUGGUGCGGACCCGAUUUAGUUAUUGGUGUCCUCGAGUGACUAACAACUCAAAACCAGGAAAACAUUGGAAUCGGUGAGGAAUAAUACUUGAUGAAGGCUCAGAAUAAGCAACAUGGUUCGAUGAUAUUAUCGAGAUACCAGAGGGUAAUACUCGGAGGUAGAGCAAGAUAGAGGGUUGACAAGUGUAUUGAUCUGCAAAAGACAAGUACUUUAACUUGUCCGAGAAAAGGAAUCAAGGAAUAUCAAUAUGGCCGACACCAUAGUUGCAAGGGAUCAAAUUCAAAGACACCGGAAGAAUUAUCCAAUUGAUUAAAAGUUUUGCAAGAAGCUUCCAUGAUAAGUUCCACAUCGGGUCCAUGGGCAUGAACACAAAGUUCAAGGUCGACUCCCACUUCUCCAAAGCACAACCGUACAUUCACUUCUCAUUUUGAUAAAGGCAUUAGUGUCGAAAGUUUUACCUAGUGAAAUACCAGAUGAGUAUGGCCCGUGAAAUCUUUCAGGCUCACAUAGAUUAGGUAAAGCAUUAGUUCAACCCAUCGAGGCAUCUUAGGAACAAAUACCACAAAUUUUUAGCAGUAAUUAACACAAGAUCGAAAGUAGAGCAUGGUUGUCAAAGCACUAUGUAUUAGGGAAAGAACUCACAAGAUUGAAUGUGAGAUAACAACUCAGCAAUGGGUUUGGCGGUCCAUAACGGAGCUGACGUGAGUAUCGGUACUCAACUAGAGGAAUAAAGAAUGCAAAGGCAUUCGAUUAUGGGAAUAACUAACUAAUUCAAACCUCAAAGGCAAAGGAAUUGCGAUUUCCAUCUUAAGGGAUCAGAAGCAAACGCUCUGAUUAAGGAUGGAUUAGUUGAGUAGACUUAGGGGUACAAUCGACGGCAAUUUGAUGAGUCGAUAACCAGCUCACUUUCAAAAUGACAUCUGAGCCGGAAAGAUAUUUUAAAAGGAUCAACCGAUGAUUGCAUGCACUCGCACUCAUGUUGAAUCAAUAGGAUCAAAUGACGGUGUCAAAGGAGACUAAUGAAUAUUGCCAGACAUAUGGAGAGCAUCCAUAAUGCAAGCAGACAAGUGUUUGCAGAGCAACAAGCUGCUAGGGAUUUUCGGAGGAUCGAAUAGUAUUUCGAAGACCAUUGUGAAACACAUGAACAACUGGGAGUGAGCGGAUACUCGAUAAGUGCGAUAAUUAUCCAUAGGGGUAUUCAGGUGACAAGGAACGGCAAGGUAGUAAGUUCAAAGGAUUAUCGAAACAACGACAAGUAUUACGGGGUAUCUUGUAAUAACAAGACCAACUGGGGAUGAAUGUAAGAAUAACAACUGCAAGUAGUUAUCCAUAAGGGUUGACAGUGGAAGGGGAAUUGCAAACACGAUGAACACAAGUUCUCGGGUUAACAGCGGAGAGUAUCUUCAGGGUCUUCACGUAUAGCAGACGAUCAUCAGUAAUAAGGGGCUCUCCGGGUGAAAGUGAUAGCGAGAUCCUAAUGUUAGAUUUAGCAAAAUUCAUUUAACCCGGAUAGAAGAGAGUUCAGUGUCCCAGAGUAAGGAUCGAGGAGUAAAAGAGCCUAAUACCACCCAGAUAGCGAUGUGGGCCCGUAAGGCACACAACCAUGUUAGUAAAAGUUUUUGUAAUGUCUAGACUCAACUUCGCCCAAGGAGUGUGGAAGGGGGAUUCCUACAGGCAGUCGGCUCUGAUACCAACUUGUGACGCCCCCGAUUCAAUCGAACACUAAUCAUACAUGCAAACAUGUACGAUCAAGAUCAAGAACUCACGGGAAGAUGUCACAACACAACUCUACAAAUAAAUUAAGUCAUACAAGCAUCAUAUUACAAGCCAGGGGCCUCGAAGGUUCGAAUACAAGAGCUCGGUCAUAGACGAGUCAGCGGAAGCAACAAUAUCUGAUUACAGACAUAAGUUAAACAAGUUUGCCUUAAGAAGGCUAGCACAAACUGGGAUACAGAUCAAAAGAGGCGCUGGCCUCCUGCCUGGGAUCCUCCUAAACUAUUCCUGGUCGUCAUCAGCGGGCAGCGCGUAGUAGUAGGCACCUCCGGUGUAGUAGGAGUCGUCGUCGAAGGUGGCAUCUGGCUCAUGGGUUCCAACAUCUGGUUGCGACAACCAGGUAGAAGGGAUAGGGGAAAAGAGGGAGAAAGCAACCGUGAGUACUCAUCCAAAGUACUCGCAAGCAAGGAGCUACACUACAUAUGUAUGCAUUGGUAUCAACUGGAAUAAGGCUAUCAUAUGUGGACUGAACUGCAGAAUGCCGAAAUAAGGGGGGAUAGCUAGUCCUUUCGAAGACUACGCUUCUGGCAGCCUCAUAUUGCAGCAUGUAGAAGAGAGUAGACUGAAGACCUCCAAGUAGCAUCGUAUAGCAUAAUCCUAAUCGAUGAUCCUCCCCUCGUCGCCCUGUGACAAAGAGACCACCGGUUGUAUCUGGCACUUGGAAGGGUGUGUUUUAUUAAGUAUCCGGUUCUAGUUGUCAUAAGGUCAAGGUACAACUCCAAGUCGUCCUGUUACCAAAGAUCACGGCUAUUCGAAUAGAUUAACUUCCCUGCAGGGGUGCACCACAUAACCCAACACGCUCGAUCCCAUUUGGCCGGACACACUUUUCUGGGUCAUGCCCGGCCUCGGAAGAUCAACAUGUCGCAGCCCCACCUAGACCAACAGAGAGGUCAGCACGCCGGUCUAAACCUAAGCGCCCAGGGGUCUGGGCCCAUCGCCCUUAGCACACCUGCACGUUGCGUGGGCGGCCGGAAGCAGACCUAGCCUAGUAGGCGUUCCAGUCCAAUCCAGUGCGCACCACUCCGUUGCUGACGUCACGAAGGCUUCGGCUAAUACCACGACGUCGAGUGCCCAUAACUGUCCCCGCGUAGAUGGUUAGUGCGUAUAGGCUAGUAGCCAGACUCAGAUCAAAAACCAAGAUCUCGUUAAACGUGUUAAGUAUCUGCGAACACCGACCAGGGCCAGGCCCACCUCUCUCCUAGGUGGUCUCAACCUGCCCUGUCGCUCCACCACAAAGUAACAGUCGGGGGCCGUCAGGAACCCAGGCCCACCUCUACCGGGAUGGAGCCACCUGCCCCUUCAGCCCCCAUCUCCAAACAGUAUCACCGGUAAUGUAACAGUGUAAAGUAUAUAAUAUAUGCCCGUGAUCACCUCCCGAAGUGAUCACGGCCCAGUAGUAUAGCAUGGCAGAUGGACAAGAGUGUAGGGCCACUGAUGGAACACUAGCAUCCUAUACUAAGCAUUUAGGAUUGUAGUUAAGGUAUCAACAGUUGUAACAACAAUGGCAAGCUAUGCAUCAGAAUAGGAUUAACGGAAAGCAGUAACAUGCUACACUACUCUAAUGCAAGUAGUAUAGAGAAGAGUAGGCGAUAUCUGGUGAUCAAGGGGGGGGGGCUUGCCUGGUUGCCCUGGCAAGUAGGGGUCGUCAACACCGUAGUCGAUCGGGGGUACCAGCAGCGGUCUCGGGGUCUACCGAAAAGAAGUAACGGAGGGGGAACACAAUAAAUAACAAAGCAAACAAAGCAACACAAAGCAUAACAUGGCAAUGCACGGUGCUAGGGGUGACCUAACGCCGUAUGAGGUGAUACCGGUGAAGGGGGGAAACAUCCGUGAAAAUAUCCCCGGUGUUUCGCGUUUUCAGACAGAUGAAUCGGAGGGGGAAAGUUGCGUGUUCGCUAUGCUAGGGACGUGUGACAACGAACGGGUUGCAUAUCCAGAUUCGUCUAAUUCUUCUGAUCAUCUUUCAUAUAUAUAUAAAUUAUUUCGAUUUGAGUUAUGGAUUAUUUUCUAUGGAUUUUCAAAGUUUAUUCAAUUUUCUAAAUUUUUUGCAUUUAUUUAAUCGAAUUGACCAAGUCAAUUUGACCGGUCAAAAGGGAAGAUGGUGGCCCACAUGUCAUAAGCUAUACCUAAACAAAUAACUAAAACUAGCUUAAAUAACUCAGGUCCACAUGUAGUAGGCUUAAACUAAUUAAUUAACCAACUAAUCUAAACUAAAUUAGUUUAGACCUAAUUAAACUAGGUCGGCCACACACGGCUGUGGCACAGCCCACGCGCACACACAAUGCUAAGGAGUAACUAUAUUCCUUUUGACACAAGAUAGCAUUUUGUGAUUUUUGUAGGAUUUAAUCCAAGCAUUAUCUGAAGCAGGUCCAAUGGAGCAAAAUGAGGCUUGUUACGUCUACUUUCCGUUCAUAUAAUUUGUACCCAUGUUAGGACUUGUCUUAUCGCUGUUUAGUUGCAGUUUAGAAGGCUAGUCACUUUAGAAAUACAAAAGCUAGCUCCUGCUACAGUAACUGAAUGUUACUGUAGCCGUGUAGCAUAGCAGCAGACAGCGGCUGCGGGAGUAGCAAAGCUGCAGUGAAGCAAGCGGCAUGCACACGGCGGCGCAUGUUGGGCGCAGGGUGGGUCGGACGCGAGGCGUGGGUGGCCGCGGCGCGAGCAGUAGCACGGGGUGAGCGCUACCACGGCUCUCGCGGCGACCAGAGCAGACUGCAGCAACGCAGCGGCAGUAGGAGGCGAGCGGGGGCGCGGCACGCCGGCGCGCGGUCAGGGCUCGGCCCAGGACGUGGGCAGGCCACGGCAGAGCGUAAGGCAGCGAGCGACGCGCGGGGUCGGUGAGCCCGGGCGGAGGCGGACGCGUGCAGGACGCCGGCGUGCGAGCAGCGUGCGGCUUGCGAGUACAGAGGAUGAUGAUGAGGACCAAACGAGCAUCUCCAGCAACGAUUUGAGCGGCCGCUGCUACCUAACAAAUUGGGCGCGACAUCGCGCGUUGAACGAAAUCAACGACACGAGCAGAGAUGGCCGAAGUUGGCCGAAGCAAUGAUGGUGAGCGGCGGCCAGAGCAAGAGCUCAACGGAUAUGGAGAUAUGCGGGGAGAAUGACCAAACAAACGGCUCAGGCGGCACCACAGGGACGCCACGAGCACAUUGACGUGCUUGCCUGGCCCUAGAGUACACGAUACUGACGGUGACGAGGUCAAUAACAGCGACAGAGCUUCGGUGGCGAUGGUAGUAUCAGCAGGAAACAACGAACCAAGUCUAGAGGAGAGGGGUUUCGACCGGGACCUCACCGUGAGGCGCAAGAAAGGCCGGUGGGAGUUUAGUAGCUGCAGGAGGCGGUGAAUCAUUGGCGGCAAGCUUCGAGCACCGAUGAAGAAGACGAAGUCGAUAUCGACAAUGUAGAGCGCCUGGCCUCGCGUGCGUUGGUGAGGAGGAAGAGGACGUCGAGGUGGAUCUCCUGGACAUGGUGGUACGGCGUGGAGCACUCUGUGGCUUCGUGGGCGACGGAUCGAUGGUGACGACAGAGACUACCAUGGCGGGGGAGGAAGAAAGCGGCAUGGG